rnacentral:tRNA from 1 species
GGGGAUUUAGCUCAGCGGCAUAAGCGCCUGCCUUGCAAGCAGGCGGUCGUGAGUUCGAUCCUCAGUACCGA